AACGGGUGAGUAACACGUGAGGAACCUGCCCUGUACACCGGGAUAACUACGGGAAACCGUGGCUAAUACCGGAUGCUCCACCUUGAUCGCAUGAUCGGGGUGGGAAAGCUCAGGCGGUACAGGAGGGCCUCGCGGCGUAUCAGCUAGUUGGUGGGGUAAUGGCUCACCAAGGCAACGACGGGUAGCCGGCCUGAGAGGGCGACCGGCCACACUGGGACUGAGACACGGCCCAGACUCC
rnacentral:rRNA from 1 species